AUGUUUUCUCCUAUAUUGAUUGAUAUUUUAGUUGUUAGUUUCAUUGUUGGGUAUAUGGCUUGAUUGAAGGUUUAUGAAAGAAUCCUACAUCCAUAUGAUAUGACAAGAUGAUCAAGAGUAUAGUUGAAUGGUUGUUCCAGAUGCUCAUAAGUAAGUAAGAUGCAUCUUAUUUUUUAGUUUACUUUAUUGAUAGAAUAGAGGUUCACCCAAUUUAUGGUAUUAAAACUUAAUGUUAUAGAAUAAUUCAUUUUUUAGUAUAUAAUGCUUGAUUGAAGGUUUAUAGGCCUCAACUGCAAUGUAAGAUUAUAAGAUAAAUUUUGUGGAAUGUUGUUAGGUUGCAAAGAAUCUGCCAUUUAUUUGAUGUAAGGCUUAUUUUUUUAUUUUUUUUGAAGAAGCUAAAUUAUGUAAGGCUUAUUGAAAAGGAAUCAAAUGUGCUUCUAUUUGAUCGAGAGCAGUAUAAUCUCUCAUAUACCUUACUUUGAAGGGUGUUUGGUAGUCUAAGGUUUUGCUUUUAGUUUUAUCAUCACCAGCCCAUUGUCUUCUGUUAUAAUUUUGUCAUCAACUAUUUUUGACAUGAGUGUAGAAUGGUUGCAGGAAAGAGGUAAGAUGAAGGGAGGUUACAAAGGGAGAUAGCGCCAACACAAAUUGUUACAGAACAAUGAGAUAAUUUUGAGGAUUAUAUUUAGUUUUAUUAUAGUGUGUAUUAUUUCUUUGAUUUUCCUUUCCAUUACUUAAUUUCAUUUUAUUAUUACUACUACGUGCAAGAAUUAUAACUAUAGAGGACAUUAAGAGCAUACCACUAGCCUAUUGUUACUCCUACCGUCAUGAUAGAGAUUGUAUGGGAACAAGGCCUUGAAUCUUUUCUAGGCAUGUGAUCUAUUUGUAAUCUUUUUAGAUAUGAUUUGUAGCAUAACUAAAGUAGUUAAUGAUUAUGUAAAUCCGAAUAUUUUUCAAUGAUAAAAAAGUUUUUUUUUUUCCAUACUUCUCUUUUUA
rnacentral:lncRNA from 1 species